AUUGAACGCUGGCGGCAGGCCUAACACAUGCAAGUCGAGCGGAACGGCGGACGGGUGAGUACUGCCAAGGAAGCAGCCUGGUGGUGGGGGAUCAAGUCGGGAGAAGGGAGCUAAUACCGCAUACGAUCAGUCCAGCCUAGGACGGAGGAGCUAGUUGGUGGGGUAAAGGCCGACCAAGGCGACGAACCGUAACUGGUCUGCGAGGAGGAUCAGUCACACUGGAACUGAGACACGGUCACGACUCCUACGGUAGGUAGCAGUGGGGAAUAUUGGACAAUUGGCGAAAUCCUGAUCAAGCCAUGCCGCGUGUGUGAAGAAGGUCUUCGGAUUGUAAAGCACUCUAAGUUGUGCGGCGUUAUCAACAGAAUAAGCACCGGCUAACUUCGUGCCAGCCGCCGCGGUAAUAC
rnacentral:rRNA from 1 species